UACGGAGGGUGCAAGCGUUAUCCGGAUUCACUGGGUUUAAAGGGUGCGUAGGUGGGCAGUUAAGUCAGUGGUGAAAUCUCCGGGCUCAACCCGGAAACUGCCAUUGAUACUAUCUGUCUUGAAUAUCGUGGAGGUAAGCGGAAUAUGUCAUGUAGCGGUGAAAUGCUUAGAUAUGACAUAGAACACCAAUUGCGAAGGCAGCUUACUACCCGAAUACUGACACUGAGGCACGAAAGCGUGGGGAUCAAACAGG
rnacentral:rRNA from 1 species